UAAGAAACAAGAUGUAGUGGCCAGAUCAAGUGCAAAUGCAUAGUAUCAGGCUAUGGCUUUAGCCACAUGUGAACUUAUAUGGUUAAAACAACUUCUUUAGAAGUUAAAAUGUGGAGAUGAUGAACAAAUGAAGUUGAUUUGUGACAAUCAAGCUAUGUUAUAUAUCACUUCUAAUCUUGUGUUUCUAAGAGGACGAAGCAAAUUGAGAUAGAUUGUCACUUUAUUCGACAAAAAAUCGAGUCUGGAUGUAUUACCACUAGUUUUGUCAGUUCAAAUCACCAUUUAGCAGACAUUCUUACAAAAUCUCUUCAAUAGAAUAGAAUUGAGUAUAUUUGUAAUAAGCUAAGAGCACACAAUAUGUACGCUCCAACUUGAGGGAGAGUAUUAAGAUAGAGACAUGUAUAGCUUUAAAUUAGGGGAUCGACUCCAAUCCC
rnacentral:misc_RNA from 1 species